GAUGAACGCUGGCGGCGUGCCUAAUACAUGCAAGUCGAACGCACAGCGAAAGGUGCUUGCACCUUUCAAGUGAGUGGCGAACGGGUGAGUAACACGUGGAUAACCUACCUCAAGGUUGGGGAUAACAUUUGGAAACAGAUGCUAAUACCGAAUAAAACUUCGUAUCGCAUGAUACAAGGUUAAAAGGCGCUACGGCGUCACCUAGAGAUGGAUCCGCGGUGCAUUAGUUAGUUGGUGGGUAAAGGCUACCAAGACAAUGAUGCAUAGCCGAGUUGAGAGACUGAUCGGCCACAUUGGGACUGAGACACGGCCCAAACUCCUACGGGAGGCUGCAGUAGGGAAUCGUUCCACAAUGGGCGAAAGCCUGAUGGAGCAAACGCCGCGUGUGUGAUGAAGGCUUUCGGGUCGUAAAGCACUGUGUAUGGGAAGAACAGCUAGAGUAGGAAUGAC
rnacentral:rRNA from 1 species